rnacentral:misc_RNA from 1 species
UCUCCGUUGGUGAACCAGCGGAGGGAUCAUUACAGGACUCGCAAGACUCCUACACCCUGUGAACUUAACUAUAAGCACGUUGCUUCGGCGGGUGUCUCGGAGGGGGUUCUCCCUCCCCGAGACGCUAAACCCGCCGGCAGCCUACUAUACUCUGUCUCUUUGCGUUGGCAUCUCGAGUACAAUCAAACAAGUUAAAACUUUCAACAACGGAUCUCUUGGUUCUG